ensembl:lncRNA
GUGACAUGGUCCCAGCCAGGCGACGGAGGUGAGCUGCCCCGAGGGGGCCCCUUCCAGAGGACAAGACAGAGCAGCGUCUCCCUGGCCCUUUAUCCUUCUUGGAAUGCCAGAGUCUCAGAGGCGUGCCACUCACCUCAGACCUGAGCCCACAGGUCCAGAGCCCCGAAGAUGGAGAGAACCAGGGUCCCUGCCCGGUCCGCCACCCCUGCCUCCCCCGCCGGGGACAACACCCCUCUGUUAUCUGCAGCUGACCCACAUGCACCUGAAUACUAGGGCCUCAUCAUUGAGAGUAAACACAAUAGAGGUUAGACAGGCCGUCUCCAUGGAAAUAACUCCCACCUCCCUGCUGUCUAGCAGAGAGGAUUGACAUCAAUACCACUCAAUCACAGCGUUCUCUUGUCUUCUUUGGAGCACUGAAAAGUUGGUGCCUCUAUUCACUGACCUGUAAACCCAGAACCACCCAAGUGCUGGGCAGAGUCGGGCUCCACAGACACUUCCUCCCCUGGAACGACUGCCUGCUGACCAAGAGCGGGGACACAGUCAUUUCACAGUGGCUGCGGUGGAGGGCCGAGGGUACAGCAAAGCCUCGUCUUACCAGGUCUGUGUUUUCUCUCCCACACGCCACACCCUCACACCUCCCGAGCUUGAGGAAAGGCUGAGGAGCAUCUCAUCACGUGGGCCCAGGUGUCGUGCUGGGAGAGAUGCUCACCCCAGGUCACCUGGAACAGCCCAAAAGGACAGGAAGGAGAAGCGAAAUACCCAGAAUCCCCUGCACAUAAGCCCUGAGGCAAGGAGGUGAGCCCCUCGUUGGAGGACAGGGAACCACACUGGAGGAAAGGGAAGAGCUGGUGCAAAGGCACUGAGGCCUUGGAGGAAUGAGAGUUGUGGGUGUGUCAGGGAGCACAGCGAGGAGGACUGAGGCUAGACAGUAGUGGUGGUUGGUUUUUAAAGCAUGAGAUUAUCAUUAACUCUGUUUAUAAUAAUGACAAUGUUUGUCCAGCACCAACUAUGUUCCAGGCACUUUGCAUCCACCAUCUCAGUCCCUCCAACCCCCAGGAGGCAGGCCUUACAAUUAUCCCCAUCUUUAGAAGACAAACCUGAGGCCCAGAGAAUCAAACUGACUUUCACAGGACACCUGACAAGAAGGAGCAGAGCUAGAAUCUCAGUCUAGGCUCCUGGCUCCACAAACAUCAUUCCCAAGGCCCAUUUACACCACAACCCCUGCCCUUGGGCAAAGUGAAGAGAGCUGCUCAGUGUCCGGUGACAUGGAUCAGUCAGCACAUCCUGCUGUGUAACAAAGGCACACAACCUGGGGCAUUUCCACCCCGCGGCUGAAGUGGUCAGCUAGGCGUCCCUGCUGACGCUGGCUGGGCUACUUACUCGUCUGAAGUUCUGCUGGGGUGAAUGAGCAUCUCCUCUCCGUCCUCAGUCCAGGAGCUCAGGCCCUGCUCACACAGAUGGCAGAGGUGCCCAAGGACUAGUGGAGGCAGGUAAGUGUGCCUCCAAGCUUCUGCCUGAGUGACGUCUGCCAGCACCCUAUUGGCCAGAGCAAGUCACAGAGUGAAACCCAGCUUCCAGGGACAGGGAAAUCUACCCACCACUUAAUAGAAGGAGCUACAAAGCCCUCAGCAAAGGCUGAAGCCCUGAGGCCACUUAUGCAUGCAUUCCACCUGCACAGCUCUCACCAGCACCUCUCACCAGCCAGACCCAGCAGGGAGCCUGGGGACCCAGCAGGCAGCCAGGGGAAUAAUGUAGCCCUCAGCCCGCGCACAGAGCCAGCCAGGAAGGGCUGAGGGCACAGAGGGAGCCUCCUGGGAACAAGUUGCCUCAGUCUCCCUGGUCCCAAGCCAGCGCACACAAGCAGAGCCCUGGUUCGGACCCAGGAGGGCUGGGUGGGGGAGACUCUGCACGCCCAAAGCAGGCUCCUGGGGAGGCCCAGGCUGUUCCCAAGGCAGCACCCGCGAGGAGCAAACGCCUACAGGGAGAUGCCCAGAGGACACUCAGUCAGUGCCUACUGCGGCUGGGCUUUCCCUUCUUCCAGCCUCUGAGGCAGGAAUGGCAGCCGGAGGGAAAAUCAGCGCCAGCAAUUUGAGAGACUCACCGGAGUCACCCGUUUCCAGGCGGCCCCUCUCUCUGCCGGUGUGCUCCUGGGCUCCGGGAACCAGCCCACAGACGGCCGUGACCCAGUCCUCCAUCUCACACAUGCUAGGGGUCCAGCCUUCUUAUUCACAGUCUCGGAUCCUCAGGACCUGAAAAAGAAAGAUCACCAGCUCCAUUUUAUGUAGGAGGAAACCUAGACUCUGGAAACUUAAACACCUCACCAAGAGUCCCCAGGGAAGGAGAGCAGAGCCCUGCGGGAACCCAAACCUGCCUGAACGCUCUGCUCAGGCCCCAGCCCUGCCUCUCAGACUCAGCUGCCAUCACUCUAUAGUACUGAACUGGCAGGGCCCCUGGGGUCCUGCUUUGGAAGGCGGGGACUGUGAUCCCCCCGCCUGGAUUCAGACCUUACUUCUGCCAGCCCUGCACACACACUGGGCCUCCUGGGAACCCCACUCAGUUUCCUCGACUGUCAAGAAGGGACAAGGACAUUCCCAAUCGCAUCAUCACGUUGUGAGGCACCAUCCAGUUAUCCUGUGUGACCCCGGCAUGUUCAAACUCUGGAUAGAUACGCAACGAUCAUGCCGUUUAGAUUCCGGUGGAGAAACACAACUCGCAAAUCAUCAAAACUGGGAAUCUGUCAUCUGACUGCGUGUGCAAGGUUAGAACUCCAAGAACCUAUGUGUGAUGAAAUGAACAGCAGCACCAACCGCACUAUCCGAGAAGUUGCCCAGCCCCGUGGGACUGGGUGCCCAGGAGGCCUCCCGCUUGUGGACUGGUCUCAGCUACCCCAGACGAGAGCGUGUCCCGUCUCCUCACCAAGCCAGCCUCCACCGCGGGCUGGGAACAGACCUGGGGAGAGCAGCCUGGAAUGUCUGGGGCCUCCCGUCACUCCUGCCUGGACACCUCCGUGCAGAGGCGGCGAUGCGAGGCCACUGAAGAGUGGCCUCCAACAUCAUUUCUCCAAACCACACAGAAGACGCUGGGCAAGUUUGUUUCUGAGAAGACAGGCAGGGAUUUGAGUUUCUGGCGCUUGUUUGCACAAAGGAUUUCAGCCGUCUUUCUCUUGACACACAGCUUAAACACGUUAGCUGACCCUUAAAUGGAAUCCCCAUGAUGCCCCGGCUCCCUCCAAGAAAAUUUCAGGGCAGGGGGUGGGAGGGGGGGAUAAAAUGCAUUGUGUCCUGUCGGCUUAUUCCUGGCACUGCCAGUUUAGGGUUGAUGACUCCAUGCCAACUGUGUCUCCUGCUUUAUUUGGGUGUCUUUUUCUCUUCUCCUUUACCUUUUAACUAAAACACAAAAUAAGCAUUUUGAUUGCCUUCAGCUGUUAAGAGGGAAGUACAUCUCACCCCCGCCCCCCAGCCCCUGGCUGUUUGCUGGCAGAGAUCAAACGUGAAUUUCUCAAAAAACAAAAAGUGGAAAGUUUACAAAUACAGGACUCAGAAUCUGCAACAGUGCACCAUCACUCCAAGUCAGGGAUGUGUAGCCCAACAUGCUUGCCGGCAACCAGGCUUCCCGUGCUCUUUCUGUAAACCCACAUGCAAAGAUGGUACCAGGGCCACUUUCUGCCCGUCUACCAGGAAAAAAACAAAAAAGAAAGCCCAGAAGAGGCAAUAAUCUUUGCAUCAGCUGAGGCCCCAUCAGCCUGGCUGGCAAACUGAAACAUAAUAUUUUAGGCUGAAGUUGAUCACAUAGGUUUGCUGAAUUCAUUUUCUGAAAGUCUUGCCCCGAACAAGUUUAGUCAUUUUCAUGAAGUCUGAAAGUGCUUUUUCUUGUUGGGUGUCUGAAACCUGAAAUAUUUUCAACUAAAUGAGAAAAUGUUCGCUGUUGAAUGACCUAUUAGAGCUGUCACAAACGUGAUUUCUGGAAAUAAACAAGAUCGUAAGAAGGUUGGCCGGAGCAGAAACGUAAGUCAGCGUUAAUAGGUGGUGUAAUUAAAUUAUCCCUUAAGCCAAGGUGCCAAGUGACACAGCUUUGUGUGUGUGAAUUCUAAUACAGUCACCUCCCUGGGCCUGCACAAAUCUGAAUGGACUUCUCUCCAGAAUCACUAAUUUUACUUUCUUCGGUUUCUACGUAUCAAAUAGCUCUCUCUGUUCUGCUAGCUAACCAAAGUUCUUGAGACAGACAAGCCCAUAUUUUCUCGUAUCAUUUUACAGAGGUUCACUUGAUACAAACCUGGCUCCAUAAACAAUGUUUAUUUUUUAUGGUUUAGUAUCUUGCUCAAGAAAAUUAGAACUAAGUUUCAUGAAGAUUUAUUUUCAUUUUAACUAUAUUGUUCACUGGCCACUGCCACUCAAUACUUAAAUGACUUUCUCCCCAAAGGGCAACAUCUUUAAAGCGGAACAGAGUUUAUUUAAACAGCUGGUUUUUUGCACAAUCAUUUUAUUAAUACAUAGAUUGAAGUCAUGAAUAGUCGGUAUCUUGCUCAGUUUGUAAAUACAUACAGGAAUAAAAGCUGGCAUAUCAUUCAAUUAAAUUCUUAAAGAGCAACACAUGAUUAAUUGCUACCAGUAGGAUGAAGUCAUUGUACUCUGCUGCAUCUACAUAUUCCUAUGUCUUUAAAUAGCAUUUCACACUUGGAGUAAAAUGAAUUCCUGCCUGUCUCCCCGCCAAGGACAAAUGAUAACAUCAUUUUUAG